AAUGUUGAUGCCGUAGCAACAUGGAACUCUGGGAGACGGAACACCGGCGCUCUCCCGUGCACCUGAAUGCAGAGCAGAAACACGGAGUAAGGUGUGAGAACAAAGCCCAACAAACUUCGCAAGCACUUUUGAAAGACUGCUGCAGUGAUUGGUUGCUGCAACCAACGGGAACAUGCGCCAGACGAGAAGAGCAACAACCGCCUGUGCUCUCUGGACUCUCAACAGACAAGCACAGUAACCUAUCAGAGAGGAAAAUGAAGACUAUGGAGCCAAUGACAAUGACCUUCAACAGAAACUUGAACAGAAAAGAGGGUCUUUAAAAAGCAUUGCGGCAAGACAUCAACAACACUGAUGGUAAUUCUUCUGGUGAUAAUGAUGAAGUAAUUAUGAAUAUCACAUAGUGUUCUUCGUGGUGUUUAGCUAAUCCAGCAUCACAGAUGCGUUAACUGUCUGGUUCAUCGUCCUUCCCUGUUCCAUGUUUCUUGUUUCUUUCUUUACCCCCUUUGCCCCAUGCGUGACAUGUUCUAGCCAUGCAUUAGUAUUUAAGUGCCUGUCUCUUUUCUGCAUCUCUUCCCUCUGCUCCCUUCACAGAAGCGUCCUUAAAGGAACCAGCAACAGACAUUUGGCUCAGUUACACUAAGCGUCUAUUUUUACUCUAAGGGUGGGGUGCUUCUGUGAUGGUGUCCUGCGGUAGCUUACCUCCACUGGCACGCAAGGAUGCUAGCUGACCCAAUCCACAUUGGAUUAUACCAAUGAUAGUCCGGAACGGGGGUGUGUAAAGGAUAUAAUUUGGAAAUUGUCCCCACACUCUGUACCACAGUGACACCCAUUGCUGGCCAUCAGUGGUAAAUAAAACAGAAUGUUAAAAUGAUUUCUCAUGUGUUUCUGUCCCUUUUUAUUUUUUUUUAUUUAUAUAUUUGUUUACUUUUUAUUAUGAUGAAAGAUCUUUAUCUCUUAAAGAUUUUCUUCUGAAUUAAUUUAAAGAGAUAGUCGACCUAAAAUUUAAAAAAAAUUUCAUUAUUUACUCACCUUCAUGUCGUUUCAAACCUGUAUGACUUACUUCCUUCUACUGGUUUGGAACAACUUGAGGUUGAA
rnacentral:lncRNA from 1 species